GAUGAACGCUAGCGGCAGGCCUAACACAUGCAAGUCGAGGGAGAAGCCUUCGGGCUUCGACCGGCGUACGGGUGCGUAACGCGUAUACAAUCUGCCUUUCACAUAGGGAUAGCCCGAAGAAAUUUGGAUUAAUACCUAAUGGUAUAUAGAUGUGGCAUCACCUUUAUAUUAAAGCUGAGGCGGUGAAAGAUGAGUAUGCGUUCUAUUAGCUAGUUGGAGAGGUAACGGCUCCCCAAGGCGACGAUAGAUAGGGGUUCUGAGAGGGAUAUCCCCCACACUGGUACUGAGAUACGGACCAGACUCCUACGGGAGGCAGCAGUGAGGAAUAUUGGACAAUGGUCGGAAGACUGAUCCAGCCAUGCCGCGUGCAGGAAGACGGCCUUAUGGGUUGUAAACUGCUUUUGCAGGGGAAGAAUAAGGACUACGCGUAGUUUGAUGACGGUACUCUGCGAAUAAGCAUCGGCUAACUCCGUG
rnacentral:rRNA from 1 species